rnacentral:rRNA from 1 species
AGUGAACGCUGGCGGUAGGCCUAACACAUGCAAGUCGAACGGCAGCACAGUAAGAGCUUGCUCUUACGGGUGGCGAGUGGCGGACGGGUGAGGAAUACAUCGGAAUCUACUUUUUCGUGGGGGAUAACGUAGGGAAACUUACGCUAAUACCGCAUACGACCUACGGGUGAAAGCAGGGGAUCUUCGGACCUUGCGCGAUUGAAUGAGCCGAUGUCGGAUUAGCUAGUUGGCGGGGUAAAGGCCCACCAAGGCGACGAUCCGUAGCUGGUCUGAGAGGAUGAUCAGCCACACUGGAACGGAGACACGGUCCAGACUCCUACGGGAGGCAGCAGUGGGGAAUAUUGGACAAGGGGCGCAAGCCUGAUCCAGCCAUACCGCGUGGGUGAAGAAGGCCUUCGGGUUGUAAAGCCCUUUUGUUGGGAAAGAAAAGCAGCAGGUUAAUACCCCGCUGUUCUGACGGUACCCAAAGAAUAAGCACCGGCUAACUUCGU